rnacentral:misc_RNA from 1 species
GAUGAAGAACGCAGCGAAAUGCGAUAAGUAAUGUGAAUUGCAGAAUUCAGUGAAUCAUCGAAUCUUUGAACGCACAUUGCGCCCCUUGGUAUUCCGAGGGGCAUGCCUGUUCGAGCGUCAUUAUAACCCCUCAAGCUCAGCUUGGUGUUGGGGCCUGCUGCACUGGCAGCCCUUAAAAUCAGUGGCGGCGCCAUCUGGCUCUAAGCGUAGUAAUUCUUCUCGCUAUGGAGUCCUGGUGGAUGCUUGCCAUCAACCCCCAAUUUUUCUAUGGUUGACCUCGGACCAGGUAGGGAUACCCGCUGAACUUAAGCAUAUCAAUAAGCGGAGGA